AACAAGAAGUAAAAGAAUUUACAUUUAGUUUCGACCUAAAAAUAGAAAAUUUCCUUGUUUUA
rnacentral:tRNA from 1 species